GGCCAAGCUAAAUUAAGGCUAGAGGUGGAUGCCUCGAGACAGAGGGGCGAUGAAGGACGCGGCCAGGCUGCGAUAAGCCACGGGGAGCUGCCGAGGCAAGCAUUGAUCCGUGGAUCUCCGAAUGGGGUAACCCGCUGAAGGUAAACCUUCAGCAUCCGCUUUUUGCGGAGGCGAACCCGGGGAAGUGAAACAUCUCAGUACCCGGAGGAAAAGAUACCAACAGGUAUUCCCUCAGUAGCGGCGAGCGAAAGGGGAAGAGCCCAAACCAAACAUCUUUAAAGAUGUUUGGGGUUGUAAGAAAGAAGAGUUUUCAAGGUUACAAGAUACUUAGCCGAAGCAUCCUGGAAUGGAGCGCCAUAGAAGGUGAAAGCCCUGUAGGCGAAAAGUAUCUUGUAAUCUUUAAAUCCCUUUUUGGGUACUCUUCUUUCUUGAGUAGCCCGAGGCCAGAUCACCUUGGGUGAAGCAGCCGGUACUACCCGGCAAGGCUAAAUACCCUCUGUCCUCGAUAGCGAACUAGUACCGCGAGGGAACGGUGAAAAGUACCCCGGUGAGGGGGGUGAAAUAGAACCUGAAACCUCUAGCUUACAAAGAGCAGGAGCCCGAAAGGGUGACUGCGUGCCUAUUGAAGAAUGACCUAGCGAGUUUGGGUUACCAGCGAGGUUAAGAGCGUUCAAGCUCGGAGCCGUAGGGAAACCGAAUGGUCUGAAUAGGGCCAAAUAGUUGGUAGCCCAAGACCCGAAGCCGGACGAUCUACCCAUGCCCAGGGCGAACCUUGACGAAAGUCAGGGGGAGGCCCGAACCCGUGGACGUCGCAAAAUCCUGGGAUGAGGUGUGGGUAGGAGUGAAAAGCUUAUCGAGUCCGGGAAUAGCUGGUUCUCGCCGAAAUAGCUUUAGGGCUAGCGGAGGUAAAAAGCUUUAGUGGGGGUAGAGCACUAAUUAGCUAGUGUAGGGCUUUGCCCAGCUAGCUAGUUAAACUCCGAAUACCACUAAAGCGUUCCCUCUAGUCAGUCUUAGGGGGCUAAGCUCCUAGGACAAAAGGGAAACAACCCAGACCACCAGCUAAGGCCCCUAAUUUUCCUCUAAGUCGUAAAGGUAGUCCUCUUUCGAAGACAAUUAGGAGGUAGGCUUAGAAGCAGCCAUCCUUUAAAAAGUGCGUAAUAGCUUACUAAUCGAGAAAGAGGGCGCCGAAACAUUUACGGGGGUAAGAGGAAAGCCGAAGCUGUGGCUUUACCCUAAAGAAAAUUUUCUUUAGGGUAAGGGGUAGGCGAGCAUUUCCUUUGCGUUGAAGGAGCAUCCGUGAGGAGCUCUGGAGCAAAGGGAAGAGAGAAUGCUAGGAUGAGUAACCACAAUCUUGGUGAAAAACCAAGACGCCGUAAGUCCAAGGUUUCCUUGGCAAUGGAAAUCAGCCAAGGGUUAGGCGGUCCCUAAGACAAUGGCGAAAGCCGCAGUCGAUGGGUAGCCGGUUAAUAUUCCGGCCCUACCCUAGUCUUGCAAUGGGGUGACAGAGGAAAUAAGCCUUUGGGUCUUAUUGGUUUGGCCUCGAGGGAGAAAAGAAGUGGAGAAAGUCAAAUGCUUUCUCCUGCCUUAAAAGGGCAAACUUCGCACUCCCGAGGGAGUAGAGCUUUUAGCUCUACAACAAAGGCGAAGAGCCUCUCGAGAAAAGCCUCUAGCGUUAAGACUAGGGUAACCGUACCGGAAAACCGACACAGGUGGACGAGGCGAGUAGCCUAAGGCGAACGAGUGAUGCUCCCCCAAGGAACUCGGCAAAAAAGCGGGCGUAAGUUCGCGAUAAGCCCUGCCCUGUUUUUAAAAACAGGGCCGCAGCGAAAGUUUCUCUGGCGACUGUUUACUAAAAACACAGCUCCCUGCUUAACUGGUAACAGGAUGUAUAGGGGGCGACGCCUGACCGAUGCUAGAAGGUUAAAGGCGGGCGAUUUUUGUCUUUCAAGACAAAAGUUGCCUGCUUAAGCCCUAGUCAAUGUCGGCCCUAACCCUGAGGGUCCAAAGGUAGCGCAAUUCCUUUCCGGGUGAGUUCCGGAGCGCAUGAAAGGCGUAACGACUGGAGAACUGUCUCGGGGGAGUGCUCGGUGAAAAUGCGAUGGGCGUGAAGACGCGCCCUACCCGCGACGGGACGAAAAGACCCCGGGAGCUUUACUGGUGGUUCACAUUGUUUUCAGGUAAAAGGUGCACAGCGUAGUGGGGAGGCUAUGAAGUCACCUCUCCGGGGGUGAUGGAGCCGCCAAUGGAACACCCGCCAUCUUUUACUUGAAAACUAACCCUUAAGAAAGCAAAAAGCAAAUCUUAGGGGGACAGUGUGUGCUGGCCAGUUUCACUGGGGCGGUGGCCUCCUAAAGAGUAACGGAGGCGUCCAAAGGUUGGCUUGUUCUGGAUGGACACCAGAAUGGACGUGCAAAGGCAUAAGCCAGCCUGACUGCAAGACCGACAGGUCGAGCAGGGGCGAAAGCCGGGCUUAGUGACCCGACGGUGCUUCGUAGGAAGGCCGGAGACAACGGAUAAAAGUUACCCCGGGGAUAACAGGCUGGUUGGGCCCGAGAGUCCACAUCGACGGCCCAGCUCGGCACCUCGAUGUCGGCUCACCACAGCGCGGGGCUGAAGCCGGUCCCAAGCGUUGGGCUGUUCGCCCAUUAAAGUGGUACGUGAGCUGGGUUUAGACCGUCGUGAGACAGGUCGGUCUAUAUCUGUCGCGGGCGCUUGGAGGUUUGAGAGGAGCUGGCCCUAGUACGAGAGGAUCGGGCUGGAGCAGCCUCUGGUGUACCAGUUGUCCUACCAAGGGCACAGCUGGGUAGCUAUGCUGCUAAGGGAUAAGCGCUGAAAGCAUCUAAGCGCGAAGCCCACCUCAAGAUUAGACCUCCUUACUAGCUUCGUGGUAGAUGACCACGUUGAUAGGCCCCAGGUGUAAGAACCGCAAGGUUUUGAGCCGAGGGGUACUAAUAAGCGAAAUUUAGCUUGGCCUU
rnacentral:rRNA from 1 species